rnacentral:rRNA from 1 species
ACUUAAAUUGAAGAGUUUGAUCAUGGCUCAGAUUGAACGCUGGCGGCAGGCCUAACACAUGCAAGUCGAACGGUAGCACAGAGAGCUUGCUCUCGGGUGACGAGUGGCGGACGGGUGAGUAAUGUCUGGGAAACUGCCUGAUGGAGGGGGAUAACUACUGGAAACGGUGGCUAAUACCGCAUAACGUCGCAAGACCAAAGAGGGGGACCUUCGGGCCUCUUGCCAUCAGAUGUGCCCAGAUGGGAUUAGCUGGUUGGUGAGGUAACGGCUCACCAAGGCGACGAUCCCUAGCUGGUCUGAGAGGAUGACCAGCCACACUGGAACUGAGACACGGUCCAGACUCCUACGGGAGGCAGCAGUGGGGAAUAUUGCACAAUGGGCGCAAGCCUGAUGCAGCCAUGCCGCGUGUAUGAAGAAGGCCUUCGGGUUGUAAAGUACUUUCAGCGGGGAGGAAGGUGUUGUGGUUAAUAACCGCAGCAAUUGACGUUACCCGCAGAAGAAGCACCGGCUAACUCCGUGCCAGCAGCCGCGGUAAUACGGAGGGUGCAAGCGUUAAUCGGAAUUACUGGGCGUAAAG